GUGCUUGCUUCGGCAGCACAUAUACUAAAAUUGGAAUGAUACAGAGAAGAUUAGCAUGGCCCCUGCACAACAAGUUUUCAUUAUAUGCUCAAGCACCAUAUUUUG
rfam:Tupaia chinensis contig93772, whole genome shotgun sequence.